UACGGGGGGGGCAAGCGUUGUUCGGAAUUACUGGGCGUAAAGGGCUCGUAGGCGGCCAACUAAGUCAUACGUGAAAUCCCCAGGCUCAACCUGGGAACUGCAUCCGAUACUGGAUGGCUUGAAUCCGGGAGAGGGAUGCAGAAUUCCAGGUGUAGCGGUGAAAUGCGUAGAUAUCUGGAGGAAUACCGGUGGCGAAGGCGGCAUCCUGGACCGGCAUUGACGCUGAGGAGCGAAAGCUAGGGGAGCAAACGGG
rnacentral:rRNA from 1 species